GCGAGCAACUCUGGAGAGACCGGAACCGACCGGCGCCGAAGGGGCAUGGGACCGCAGGACGCGGCCCAAAACUCUCAGGCAAAAGGACAGAGGGGCGCCC
rnacentral:ncRNA from 2 species